AUGGAAGAGGCGAAGAAGUUCUUGCCCACAAACUGUGAGCUGACAACCACCGGUGAGCAGGACCAACCGAAAGAGAAAAGUGGCAGCGGCCGCAAGGACUGGAGCGACGAGGUGGAGGCUGAUGUCAGUAGGACGAACAGAUUAGUCGAAGCUCAUGCCUGCGAGGUGUUAGACUUCGAUCAGAUGUGCAGUUCCAUGGACAAUGAGUCUGGGAACAGUAACAAGAAGGGGAGAAAGAGCAAGGCGCGGGUGAUUGACCUGUACACGCUGCUGAUCCACUGUGCCAAGGCGGUGACGGAUGACCGCCGGAGGGCAGGUGAGUUGCUCAUGGAGAUCCAGCAGCGCGCCUCACCCACUGGUGACGCCACACAGCGGCUUGCCUACUGGUUCACCGAGGGGCUGGAGGCACGGCUCACCGGCACAGGCAGCCAGGUGUAUGGGACACUUACGGCGAAGGCUACCUCUGCCAUGGCACACCCAGAGGCUUACCACGUAUUCAUUUCAACGUGCUGCUUCAGGAAUGUGUCCUUCUUGUUCGCCAACAGGGCCAUCUUCAAAGCGGCAGUGGGGAGGAGCACGUUGCACAUCAUUGAUUAUGGCUUUUCUUAUGGAUUCCAGUGGUCAGAACUUCUGCGCUGGCUGGCAGCAAGGGAUGGUGGCUCGCCAGAAGUCAGGAUCACCCACAUUGACCUCCCGCAGGCCGCAGCCCGGACUCCACCCAGGAAAACAUAUGGAGGAGAUCGGUAA
rnacentral:rRNA from 1 species